rnacentral:rRNA from 1 species
GACGAACGCUGGCGGCGUGCUUAACACAUGCAAGUCGAGCGGUAAGGCCCUUUCGGGGGGUACACGAGCGGCGAACGGGUGAGUAACACGUGGGCGACCUGCCCUCAGCUCUGGGAUAAGCCUGGGAAACCGGGUCUAAUACUGGAUAUGACUCCAUGACGCAUGUUGUGGGGUGGAAAGCCUUGUGCGGCUGAGGAUGGGCCCGCGGCCUAUCAGCUUGUUGGUGGGGUGAUGGCCUACCAAGGCGACGACGGGUAGCCGGCCUGAGAGGGCGACCGGCCACACUGGGACUGAGACACGGCCCAGACUCCUACGGGAGGCAGCAGUGGGGAAUCUUGCGCAAUGGGCGAAAGCCUGACGCAGCGACGCCGCGUGAGGGAUGACGGCCU